rnacentral:rRNA from 1 species
UACGUAGGGUGCGAGCGUUACUCGGAAUUACUGGGCGUAAAGCGUGCGCAGGCGGCGCGUUAAGACAGGUGUGAAAGCCCCGGGCUCAACCUGGGAAUGGCAGUGGAAACUAGGGGACUGGAAUCUGGCAGAGGGGGGUGGAAUGCCGCGUGUAGCAGUGAAAUGCGUAGAGAUGCGGCGGAACACCGAUGGCGAAGGCAGCCCCCUGGGCUGAGAUUGACGCUCAGGCACGAAAGCGUGGGGAGCAAACAGG